GACGAACGCUGGCGGCGUGCUUAACACAUGCAAGUCGAACGGAAAGGCCCUGCUUUUGUGGGGUGCUCGAGUGGCGAACGGGUGAGUAACACGUGAGUAACCUGCCCUUGACUUUGGGAUAACUUCAGGAAACUGGGGCUAAUACCGGAUAGGAGCUCCUGCUGCAUGGUGGGGGUUGGAAAGUUUCGGCGGUUGGGGAUGGACUCGCGGCUUAUCAGCUUGUUGGUGGGGUAGUGGCUUACCAAGGCUUUGACGGGUAGCCGGCCUGAGAGGGUGACCGGCCACAUUGGGACUGAGAGACGGCCCAGACUCCUACGGGAGGCAGCAGUGGGGAAUAUUGCACAAUGGGCGGAAGCCUGAUGCAGCAACGCCGCGUGCGGGAGGACGGCCUUCGGGUUGUAAACCGCUUUCGCCUGUGACGAAGCGUGAGUGACGGUAAUGGGUAAAGAAGCACCGGCGAACUACGU
rnacentral:rRNA from 1 species